rnacentral:rRNA from 1 species
AGAGUUUGAUCAUGGCUCAGAUUGAACGCUGGCGGCAGGCCUAACACAUGCAAGUCGAACGGUAACAGGAAACAGCUUGCUGUUUCGCUGACGAGUGGCGGACGGGUGAGUAAUGUCUGGGAAACUGCCUGAUGGAGGGGGAUAACUACUGGAAACGGUAGCUAAUACCGCAUAAUGUCGCAAGACCAAAGAGGGGGACCUUCGGGCCUCUUGCCAUCGGAUGUGCCCAGAUGGGAUUAGCUUGUUGGUGGGGUAACGGCUCACCAAGGCGACGAUCCCUAGCUGGUCUGAGAGGAUGACCAGCCACACUGGAACUGAGACACGGUCCAGACUCCUACGGGAGGCAGCAGUGGGGAAUAUUGCACAAUGGGCGCAAGCCUGAUGCAGCCAUGCCGCGUGUAUGAAGAAGGCCUUCGGGUUGUAAAGUACUUUCAGCGGGGAGGAAGGGAGUAAAGUUAAUACCUUUGCUCAUUGACGUUACCCGCAGAAGAAGCACCGGCUAACUCCGUGCCAGCAGCCGCGGUAAUACGGAGGGUGCAAGCGUUAAUCGGAAUUACUGGGCGUAAAGCGCACGCAGGCGGUUUGUUAAGUCAGAUGUGAAAUCCCCGGGCUCAACCUGGGAACUGCAUCUGAUACUGGCAAGCUUGAGUCUCGUAGAGGGGGGUAGAAUUCCAGGUGUAGCGGUGAAAUGCGUAGAGAUCUGGAGGAAUACCGGUGGCGAAGGCGGCCCCCUGGACGAAGACUGACGCUCAGGUGCGAAAGCGUGGGGAGCAAACAGGAUUAGAUACCCUGGUAGUCCACGCCGUAAACGAUGUCGACUUGGAGGUUGUGCCCUUGAGGCGUGGCUUCCGGAGCUAACGCGUUAAGUCGACCGCCUGGGGAGUACGGCCGCAAGGUUAAAACUCAAAUGAAUUGACGGGGGCCCGCACAAGCGGUGGAGCAUGUGGUUUAAUUCGAUGCAACGCGAAGAACCUUACCUGGUCUUGACAUCCACGGAAGUUUUCAGAGAUGAGAAUGUGCCUUCGGGAACCGUGAGACAGGUGCUGCAUGGCUGUCGUCAGCUCGUGUUGUGAAAUGUUGGGUUAAGUCCCGCAACGAGCGCAACCCUUAUCCUUUGUUGCCAGCGGUCCGGCCGGGAACUCAAAGGAGACUGCCAGUGAUAAACUGGAGGAAGGUGGGGAUGACGUCAAGUCAUCAUGGCCCUUACGACCAGGGCUACACACGUGCUACAAUGGCGCAUACAAAGAGAAGCGACCUCGCGAGAGCAAGCGGACCUCAUAAAGUGCGUCGUAGUCCGGAUUGGAGUCUGCAACUCGACUCCAUGAAGUCGGAAUCGCUAGUAAUCGUGGAUCAGAAUGCCACGGUGAAUACGUUCCCGGGCCUUGUACACACCGCCCGUCACACCAUGGGAGUGGGUUGCAAAAGAAGUAGGUAGCUUAACCUUCGGGAGGGCGCUUACCACUUUGUGAUUCAUGACUGGGGUGAAGUCGUAACAAGGUAACCGUAGGGGAACCUGCGGUUGGAUCACCU